AUUGAACGCUGGCGGCAUGCCUUACACAUGCAAGUCGAACGGUAACGGGCCUUCGGGUGCCGACGAGUGGCGAACGGGUGAGUAAUACAACGGAACGUGCCCGAUCGUGGGGGAUAACGAGGCGAAAGCUUUGCUAAUACCGCAUACGAUCUACGGAUGAAAGCAGGGGACCGCAAGGCCUUGCGCGGACGGAGCGGCCGAUGGCAGAUUAGGUAGUUGGUGGGAUAAAAGCUUACCAAGCCGACGAUCUGUAGCUGGUCUGAGAGGAUGAUCAGCCACACUGGGACUGAGACACGGCCCAGACUCCUACGGGAGGCAGCAGUGGGGAAUUUUGGACAAUGGGCGCAAGCCUGAUCCAGCCGUGCCGCGUGCAGGAUGAAGGCCUUCGGGUUGUAAACUGCUUUUGUACGGAACGAAAAGCCUUCUUUUAAUACAGGAGGGUCAUGACGGUACCGUAAGAAUAAGCACCGGCUAACUACGUG
rnacentral:rRNA from 1 species